CGGCACCUAUCUUUGGAUAGAAGCGAGUGGCGAACGGCUGAGUAACACGUGGAGAACCUGCCCCCUCCCCCGGGAUAGCCGCCCGAAAGGACGGGUAAUACCGGAUACCCCGGGGUGCCGCAUGGCACCCCGGCUAAAGCCCCGACGGGAGGGGAUGGCUCCGCGGCCCAUCAGGUAGACGGCGGGGUGACGGCCCACCGUGCCGACAACGGGUAGCCGGGUUGAGAGACCGACCGGCCAGAUUGGGGCUGAGACACGGCCCAG
rnacentral:rRNA from 1 species